CUACGGGGCGCUCCAGUCGAGAAUCUUCGGCAAUGGACGAAAGUCUGACCGAGCGACGCCGCGUGUACGAUGAAGGCCUUCGGGUUGUAAAGUACUGUCAGUUGGGAGGAAAUAUUUGGGGGUCAUCCCCCUUAUUUGACCCAUCUUCAGAGGAAGUGCGGGCUAAGUUCGUGCCAGCAGCCGCGGUAAUACGAACCGCACGAACGUUAUUCGGAAUCACUGGGCUUAAAGGGUGCGUAGGCGGUCUAGUAAGUUGGGUGUGAAAUCCCUCGGCUCAACCGAGGAAUUGCGCUCAAUACUGCUAGACUUGAGGGAGAUAGAGGUAAGCGGAACUCAGGGUGGAGCGGUGAAAUGUGUUGAUAUCCUGGGGAACACCAGUUGCGAAAGCGGCUUACUGGGUCUCUUCUGACGCUGAGGCACGAAAGCUAGGGGAGCGAACGGGAUUAGAUACCCCCGUAGUC
rnacentral:rRNA from 1 species